rnacentral:misc_RNA from 1 species
CAAGAAGAGACCCUAACCGGUCCUCUCAACCCUGCCCACCGUACCUUUUUUGUUGUUCCCCCGGCGGUGCUCGCGGGCCCGCCGGCGGGAAGACCAAACAAACCCUUUGCAAACAAGCAUAUCGAAUCUCUGAUCAAACAUGAAUUGUCA